rnacentral:rRNA from 1 species
GGUGAAAUGAAUUUCGCCUGAGGAUGAGCUCGCGUCUGAUUAGUUUGUUGGUGGGGUAAUGGCCUACCAAGACUGUGAUCAAUAGCUGAUUUGAGAGGAUGAUCAGCCACAUUGGGACUGAGACACGGCCCAAACUCCUACGGGAGGCAGCAGUGGGGAAUCUUGCACAAUGGAGGAAACUCUGAUGCAGCGAUGCCGCGUGAGUGAAGAAGGCCUUUGGGUUGUAAAGCUCUUUCGUCGGGGAAGAAAAUGACUGUACCCGAAUAAGAAGGUCCGGCUAACUUCGUGCCAGCAGCCGCGGUAAUACGAAGGGACCUAGCGUAGUUCGGAAUUACUGGGCUUAAAGAGUUCGUAGGUGGUUGAAAAAGUUGGUGGUGAAAUCCCAGAGCUUAACUCUGGAACUGCCAUCAAAACUUUUCAGCUAGAGUAUGAUAGAGGAAAGCAGAAUUUCUAGUGUAGAGGUGAAAUUCGUAGAUAUUAGAAAGAAUACCAAUUGCGAAGGCAGCUUUCUGGAUCAUUACUGACACUGAGGAACGAAAGCAUGGGUAGCGAAGAGGAUUAGAUACCCUCGUAGUCCAUGCCGUAAACGAUGUGUGUUAGACGUUGGAAAUUUAUUUUCAGUGUCGCAGGGAAACCGAUAAACACACCGCCUGGGGAGUACGACCGCAAGGUUAAAACUCAAAUGAAUUGACGGGGACCCGCACAAGUAGUGGAGCAUGUGGUUUAAUUCGAAGAUACGCGCAGAACCUUACCAACACUUGACAUGUUCGUCGCGACUCUAAGAGAUUAGAGUUUUCGGUUCGGCCGGACGAAACACAGGUGCUGCAUGGCUGUCGUCAGCUCGUGUCGUGAGAUGUUGGGUUAAGUCCCGCAACGAGCGCAACCCUCACUUUUAGUUGCCAUCAUUAAGUUGGGCACUCUGAAAGAACUGCCAGUGAUAAGCUGGAGGAAGGUGGGGAUGACGUCAAGUCCUCAUGGCCCUUACGUGUUGGGCUACACACGUGCUACAAUGG